UACGGAGGGUGCGAGCGUUGUCCGGAAUCACUGGGCGUAAAGGGCGCGUAGGCGGCCUGGUAAGUAGGGGGUGAAAUCCUGCGGCUUAACCGCAGGGCUGCCUUCUAAACUGUCAGGCUCGAGCACGGUAGAGGCAGAUGGAAUUCCCGGUGUAGCGGUGGAAUGCGUAGAGAUCGGGAAGAACAUCAGUGGCGAAGGCGGUCUGCUGGGCUGACACUGACGCUGAGGCGCGAAAGCUAGGGGAGCGAACGGG
rnacentral:rRNA from 1 species